AUGCAUUGAUCGAUAUUGUCGCCUCUUUUUUAAUUUUUUUCUUUUUUCCUUCCUUUUCUUCUUCUUCUUCUUCUUCUUCAUCAUCUUUACUACCACAAGA
rnacentral:ribozyme from 1 species